UUUUACAGACGAUUUCGGAUUGAAAAGUGUUACUUUACGGACGAUUUCCGAAUACUAUAAAUAUUUCAGAUGUAGAUUGUUACUAUAAUUUCCUACACUCUUAUUCGAUUCCUUCUUACUAUUAAUACCAAACUAUGCAUAAAACCAGUUGGUACAGGAGUACUUUUCCGGAUUCACAUGAAACCAAACCACAAAAUUUUAGCGUAACCUCUGUGUUUAAAAUUGCAAUAAAUCAGGCAAAAAAUAAAAUUUUAUUGCGUUAAAACUUUAUUUGAUCGUACGGUAUAGCACAAGCACUGCUAUUUAUUGUGUAAGGAAAGUAAUUAGUCAGGUGCUUGCCUAAGUCUUGCCCUAACAAUACCUUAAAAUAAAAACAUUCAAACUAGGACUUACCUUCAACCCCAACUGACGGAAUUUUCUUUCGGCAGCACCGGAAACACAAAAAUCAGUUUUUGAACACUAUAGCAACUCACAAAAUACAACUUUUGUUGUAAACACAAACAUAAACAAUCACAAAUUUUCUUCAAACAAACGAAACAAAUGUCAUUAAAACAAGACCACUUGAUUUUUGAAAUAAUAAUCAAAUGCGCAUGCGCAGCCGCGUCAUUAAACAAAUACUGUCAAAAAAUUUGAAAAAGUUGUGUUUUGUGAGUGAAAUGGACCUAAAUCGUGAUAAAUGAUGAAAAUCCAGUGCAAAAUUGGGAGAUGAGGAUGCAAAGACCUUCAGGCCAGAUAAACUUACGACUUGGAAGAACCACAUCCUGUAAAAAUGAGGACACGGAGAGGGCUAUUACCUGAAACGAAAGGAAAAGCACUUUAGUGGCGAGCGUAAUUGGAUUUUAAUUGUCGAGAGUGAAGGAGGAUGAUACAUUGUGCAGGAUUCCGUUCCAAUUCUCAUAGCAGCUGCACGACCCAAACCUAAGGUAAGUACCGUCUUAUGGCAACAAUCACAAUAUCAAGGUCACCAUCUGGGUCGAAUGGCGCGCUAAUAAUACCUUAAUUUGGUUCGAGUACGUUCACAAAUAAUCGAAGAUUCGUGUAAAUCAAAGUCUGAUGGCUUCGUGGCUUUUUUUACUGAUAACAAGUAAAGACUGGCUAAACUGCAUUCUUUAA